rnacentral:misc_RNA from 1 species
UGAGGACAGAGAAGGACAAGAAG